GUGGGGAAUAUUGGGCAAUGGGCGAAAGCCUGACCCAGCAACGCCGCGUGAAGGAAGAAGGUCUUCGGAUUGUAAACUUCUGUCAUUGGGGACGAAGGAAGUGACGGUACCCGAUGAGGAAGCCCCGGCUAACUACGUGCCAGCAGCCGCGGUAAUACGUAGGGGGCGAGCGUUGUCCGGAAUUACUGGGCGUAAAGGGUGCGUAGGCGGCGAUGCAAGUCCAUUGUGAAAAGCCCGGGCUUAACCUGGGAGGUGCAGUGGAAACUGUAUGGCUUGAGUGCAGGAGAGGAAAGUGGAAUUCCUAGUGUAGCGGUGAAAUGCGUAGAUAUUAGGAGGAACACCAGUGGCGAAGGCGGCUUUCUGGACUGUAACUGACGCUGAGGCACGAAAGCGUGGGGAGCAAACAGGAUUAGAAACCCCGGUAGUCC
rnacentral:rRNA from 1 species